UCGGCACCACCGGCAGCACACACAAACACACGCACACGCGCACCGCAUAUCUCAUCUCAGCCGGCACUCGCUGCUCCGCCGACACACACACACACACACCUUUUUUUUUUGCUUGCUCUCCUUCUCCGUCCCUCCGCAUCGCAUGUAAGCGCGUCCGCGUGUGUUAUCGGGCCCACGCACUUGCAUACGAAAGCUGUGCACACGGUCCGUGGAAGGCACCAUCACACACCCGCGCCACACUGCUCAUCGUACUCCACCUGCUCGUUUUGUUUUUCGUUGUUUCUUUGUUGUCCAAGUCCUCUGCGGAUUCGUGCCCUCCCCCUCCCUCUCUCGCCCUGCGUGAUCGCGAGUGUGUUGUGUGGGUGUGCGUCGCACUGCCCCCGCCAUCAUCUAGCGGCGGCUGUCCCGCACCUCUGUCUUUAGUCACCAUGCCUCCCAAGAAGCGCAAAGCCGUGGGGUCGAAGAGAGAUGCCACCACCGCCACGGCGGCAGCAGCAGCCACAGCGGCGAAGACGCGCCAGCGCAAGACGGCAGGAACGAAAACCGCAGCAGCUUCGAAGAAGAGUAAGUUCAAGCCGGCACCCAAGAAGCGCGCUGCGCAGCUGCCCUGCACCUCACCAGCCGCGCGGAUGGCCUCGAAAGCUGCUACACGGAAGGCAAACAUCGUGAAGGUCACCGCAGCUUCCGCAACCAAAACGAAGGCGGCUCCGGCACAAAAGCCAAGCAGCAGCAGCAGCAGCAGCCACACAAGCAUUCGUGCCGAAUCACAGCAAGCAGCAAACACCCCGGAACGUGGUCCAACAGCUGAGAAGAUCGCCGUCUCUAGCGCAGAAAGGCGCAAGUCGUCAUCGUCACCGUCACCGCAACCGCCUGUUGCAGCUGAAGCGGCGGCCGCGACAGCGCCGGCACCUGCCGCCAGAGCACAUCGAAAAGGCGCCACGGUCAAGCAUCCUCCUCGAACAGACGAGGAACUCGACGAUGGCGGCGGCAUCGCCAGUAGUACCGCUGAGGAAAAGACGGAGAGGACGUACAGAAAGGAUGCACAUGGCGAUGCGACGGCGGCACCAUCAACGUUAACAGCGCGGACAUCAACGGCGACGCGAUCGUCGCGGCCCAUCGUCGUGGUAGCAAACAACGAGGAUGAGAGUGAACAAGAGGGCAAUGAUGGCGAAGAUACCAUUUUCUUCGGCAGUGACGUGGUUGACGCCACAAGGAGCGACGGCGACGCUCGGCAGAGUCAGCUCGACGCUCCGCCGCCGCCUCACCCCUCACUUGCGGCGUCGACGGCCGCAGCAGUGGAACAGCAUCUCGUCACGUCACCAGAGGUCCUGCCGACUCAUCCCCUUCGCCUCCUCCACGGCGGAGCUGGCGGUCGUGGCGGCAGCAGCAGCAGCAGCAGCAGCAGCAGCAGCGCCACCCUCGAUCUCCGCGGCUGCCCGACACCGCCACCGCCGCUGCUGCAGCCGGCCGUGCGCGGCACCCGCAAACAGACAUCCGACGGGCACAACAACGGCGCCGACAGUCCAAGCCGCCAAAGCGCUGAGAGCAGCCCAGAGGCCCUCAUGGCGGACAGCGAGAGCAAGCCCAGCAGCCACCGGUGGCAGCGGCAGUUGCUAGCCGGUGGCACCCCCGCUACGCAGCGUCUGCGCGAAAAGGACGCGUUGCAGGAUGGCGGUCACAGACAAGUCGGCAGCCCUCCCGCGCAUGCAGCGGAGACCGUCAAGCAGCUGUUCACCGAACCUGUGCGCUCCAUCUCAGCCACUUCAACGCCCGCUGACGACUCGCCGAAUGGCACACUCAUCAUGAGCCACGGCAGCGAGGAAGACGGCGUCGAGGAAGCAGACGCUCCGGGACUUCACCGACGGCAGCGGCAACACCACCAGCACCUGCCACCUCCCCUAGACGUCAGCAGCAUCGCCACCCACAGUGACAGCGAGAGCCGAUGGAGCGUGGGGAGGGCAACCGAGGGGCCGCCGCUGCCGCCAGGCUCUGCCACAGCUGUCACGCCGCCUCCGCUGCCCUCGUUGGUGCCGCGUGCCAGCAGCGCCGGCGGUGUGCAACUUUUCCAUCGACAUCACCGCCACAACAGCGGCGGCGUCACAGAUGACCUUUGCCGCGGCACAUCAACGCGGCUGUUGUCGACUCAAUCGUCGGCACUCAAGGACGAUGAGGCUUCGCCGUCGCUUCAGCACAAGGCCAUGGCGUCUGCCGCUCAGUCGAUCCCCGCUCCCGCAGGCCGCCUGCGUAUGGGCGGCAACACGAGCCGCCAGAGCUCUCCCUCUUCAUCGUACGUGUGGCUGAAGCGGACGGCGGGUGGGGAUGCGGUGGAGGCGAGCCACCCCGCUGCGCCGACAUCCUCGGCGGCCUCGACACUCUUCCCUGCUCACCCGCCCUUCCAGCAGCAGCAGCAGCAGCAGCAGCAGUGGUCGUCGUACGCCUGCCCUCACCUGAGCUUCACCUCACCAUCCUCAUCGCAGCUCUCAAGGCUCGCGGAUAUAGAUGUGAUAACGGAGGCCGACGCCGACGCCGAAGGCGGUCACGCCGCGACGACAACGACCCCGCAGCGGCUGCGGCUGCGAGAGCCGCCUGUGUGGCGUUCCCCGCAGAUUACGCAGCUGCCCAAAUCGUUGAGCGUCUCGCCGGUGUCUCUGCGCGGUGACAGCCGCAAAGGCGGUGUGAAAGGCGACGCCGCCUCGUCCCUACCCCAGCCCCUGUCACAGACGCAGCCCGCCGCGCACUCUGUGUCUGCAGCCUCCAGCUCCACGGGAGAAGCAACACAGACGCUCGCUCAGGCCUCUGCGAACGCGGCGGGUGGCUUACAGGCCUCACUGCACGUAGUGCCGAGUGGGCCGACUGCAGCACCGGCUGUCAGUCGACCGUCGACGCAGCUCAUCACGAAGGCAGCGGCAACGCGGCCCAUAGCUUCUCCUGGCACCAUGUGGAUCUGCUUGGAUGACGACGAUUGCGCCGGUGAUGACAGCGACAGCGAAGGCGAGGGCGUUGUCGGGGAGGCCAAGACGGCGGCGCCACUCCACAACGGCAGCGAUGUUCCUCUCAUCUCCGUGAAGAUGGAAAUCGACGCGGAGACGGACGCAGUAUACACGCCGCCUGAACACACAGCGGCUGCCGCCGCAUCGCCUUCGCCGUCGGGGUCGUCACACAAGGGGGGCGUGGCAGUGGGCGGAGAAGAACAGACAGAGGCCCCUGGGCGACUGAGAAGCCGACGCCCCAGCCCGAGCAAGGCAGACAGCGGCGGCGCUGGCGUUCGCGUGGACCAGUCAAACAUUCCCGUCCUGUCGCCAGCACAGGCUCGCCGCCGGCCACCAGCGGAGAAGAGCCAUCCCAUUGCCGAGAUCUUGUCCCCCACCUUCCGCCCGCGUCGACGUCCACCAGAUACGUCUGCCGAUCCUUCACACUCGCUCGGCGCUGGCAGCGCCACCCACCAGCGGCUCGCAAGCUGGCCAGCGUCUCACUGCUACAUCAACCUGGACGACGACACAGAGGACGAGGACGCCGAAGAAUCACCGCCGCGCCAGCGCGCACGAAACGCGCAUGCGCUCGACGGGGCGGUGUACUCAGCGCAGCCCAUGUCGUCAGCGUCGGUUGCAGACGUCUUACCUGCGCUGCUUCGCGCAUCGACAGUCACCGGCGCAGACGCGCGCUCUCAGCUAUCCCUGCCGUUGAUUAUCGACGAUGACGACGACGAGGGCGUGCCGGAAGUCGGCAGUGAGACGCACACGAAGGAGUCUGGCGAUCAGGAGGUGAGGUGCGAAGGGCUGUCGCCGAAGCCGCCAAAACCGAAGAGAGGCACCUGUGUGGAAGGGGCGAACGAAGUCGUUGCCAACGAGGAGGAUGACGACGGCCUGCUCAAGAGUCCGCAAAAGCCGCACGUGAAGGACUUCAUCUUCCCAAACCGCUUGGAUCCAGAGCUGCGCCCUUCCAGCCCCCUCUACCGGAGCAUCCACGCGUAUCAGCAGCAGUAUCAGCAGCAGCAGCAGCGGGCACAGGGGAAGGAGGAAGAGGAGCACGCAGCACGGCACGCUGCCUCACCGCUGCAGGAGGGCGUCAAUGCGGACUGCCGCCAUCUACCGCAGAGUGCCGCAAUCCCUGUGGUGAUCGGCAACACAAAGGGCGCCUCACCCGACGACGUCGCAGCGGCCGGCCAGGCAGGUCACAAACGCAGUCGUGCGAAGGACGCGAAGACCGGGGCGGCGGCGCCGGCGCUGCCGGACUGGGGCCGGCCAGCCGACACGCUCUUGCGCGACUUCUUCCCAACGAAGUUCACGAAGAAGAGUUUUAUGGAGGCGGCGAAGAAUGUGAUGUCUCCGAUGCACUUCCUCGAAGCCGGUGACUUCUGGGCCGCCUUCGCUUCGGCGGAGUUCGUUGGGGAGGGAAGCUUCGGACUUGUGUGGCGUUGCCUCACGGUGGACGGUGACCUUGUCGCGGUGAAGUCGUGCCCCAUCAUCCUGCGCACCAAGGCCAACAUCGAAGACUCCUUCUCCACGAUCCGCGAGAUCGCCACAAUGCGCUUCCUGAGCGAGAUGCAGGUGCCCUAUGUCCUUCCGCUGCACAGCGCCUUCUUUGUGCACGCGCAGGAGGCGCUGCCGCCGCUGGCACAGGAGGCGCUGGAGUGGCGCCAGCGGCUGCGCAAGCGAGCCGAAGAGGCGGCGCUGGAGGUGGAAGUGCGGUUGCUCGCCCGUGGCGGAAACCGCCGCGCCUCGCACACGGGGGCGGAAGAGGAUAUCGAGGACGCGCCGCUGACCCUGGAGCAACAAGUCGCCGUGCAGAUGGAGCGGCUGACCGCUGCGGAGGGACCAGAGGAACAGGCCACGCGUGCACGGCUGCAGUCGGUCCGUCUGCCACGCUUUCUCUCCAUAACCCACGACGACUUGACCCAGAGUGACGCAACGGUGUUUCUCGUGAUGGAGCUGUGCGACGGUGACGUGGAGGGCAUCUCCCGCAGCGACGGCGUCGCGAAGGGCAUGGUGUACUGCGUGAGCUCGGCGCUCGCAGCGAUGCACGAGCUGGGGCUGCUCCACCUCGACCUCAAGCCCAGCAACAUUCUCUUCGCCUACGAGCACGGGCCUUCGCAGCAGCGGCUGCAGCGCUUCAGCGCGUCGGGCCCCGCGACGGACGCGGUCAAGUUUUACCUUUCCGACUUUGGCAACUGCCGCCUUGUCGGCCCAGACCCCAUGGACGAAGUACAGGAUUCGUACGGCACCUUCGAAUACAUGGAUUUGCGCGCGCUGCGUGACGCCGUGUGUGGACGUCCGACCGACGCCUUCAGCCUCGGUGCCACGCUGUACGAGCUGCUCUACGGAAGGCGGCUGUACCCAAAGUGCGUGGAUCCACGCUGCCGCGGCGAGGAGGACCACUCACGCGAGUGCUUCGUGGAGGCGGCGAGUCAGCCUGUUGUGUUGCCCACGGUCGGGCCUCCCACGACAGCAGCGAUGGUGACGCCGGUGACAACGAUCGGUCUCAACGCCGCUGCCGCCGGACACGCGCGCGGCCCUCAUGCAAACGGUGGCACCGGUAGCACCAGCGGCCUCAUCUGCAGCGGGCCCGCUCUAACACCUCUGCAGUACCUCACACUGGCGCUACUGCGGAAGCCCUGGGCGGAGCGCAUGACCGCGGAGGAGUGCCGCCGCUACCUUGUGCAGACAUUCCACAUCACCCAAACCGAAGACUCGAGUCCUUGAACGUUCUGCCAUCUUGUCACCACCGUACUUCUUCGACUGGAUGCUCAUCACUUG
rnacentral:misc_RNA from 1 species